UGCUUUGAUUGGCUGAAACCUGAAAGUAGUAUAUUUAGUGGCCCUCUAAAGAUGGCAUCUGAUAUAAACUGGUAAAUAACAAGUGCUAGUUGCUCUAGGGAGCUCCAUUCGUAUAUCUACAAUUUUGUUACAAUUUUGUAUGUUCGGCACCAAUCAACAUAUACUCAUUUACUUUUUCCUUGUGAGAUUCUUUUGGGGCACAUACAUUUGAGUGUGUUUUAUACAUAGUUUUGCCAUCUAGAAAACGAAGGCAUCAUUCAUCACUCCAUUGCCUUGUGUGCUCCUCUAGACGCCGUGUUCAUGCUGCUCAUUCACAAUAUUCAGACAAAAACAAAGAAGUAAAACAAAUAUACAUCAAAAUAUAUUUUCCAAGACAGAUUAGAUUCCAACAAAACAAAAAGGAAAUAAAGUAUCACCCUUCCUAUCUUGGGCAGCCAUAACCAUAGCACAUCAAAAAGUAUUGUUUUAAUUAUUAUUUUCUCCAUCUAGCAUAUCUAAGUGAAUAUAAGAGUUCCCUUAAAAGUUAUAUAUUCAGUACUAAAACCAAUCUCAAACUACAUGUUCCUGGUACAUAGAGUUAACUACAACAUCUGAAGUCAAAGCCAGGAAAAAGCUCAGUUAGUCAUUAAUCAAUCCCUGAUAGGCUACGAUAUGUGCAGAUUGUCUGUAUCUCCUUUCAACCUUGUUAGAACACAUAAACUCUUAAGAGUAGGAAGCCAAGAUAAAAAAGAAAUUUAAAACUGCACAUUGAACCUGCUAUAUAAUCCAUCAACACGGUAAUUAUCUUGUGCAAGACACGCACUACCAACCUGAAUAGAAUGAAACAAAAUAAGGUAACUCCUUUAGAGUACAACAAUAUUACCAACUGAAUGGCAUGCACUACUACUUCCAUGUACCAUCUGUCAUUCUGACAAUAGAACAAACAAAUGAGAUUGCUACUUUUGCCUAUACAAAUUAUGCGGAGCAAGGGAUUAAACGUUUUUUAAAACCUGUGCAAACUUGACAAUUAGCAAAUACACUGACAAUAUAGACAAAAAACUAUGAAAUCAUUAAAUAUCUAAAGCAUCAGAGUGGAAAAUAGACAAGAGUAAUUAGUACAAAGUUUUCUUUUUGCUGGAAAAAAAAUCUCAAUUCUCAAUCUCUGACCCCAAACUGCUCAACACUUGACCAUGUUCACCUCAAUUAUCAAGACCUUAAAUUGUAAUUUUUAAAGAUUACAUAGAUCAUAUAAAACAAUGAAAGCCCACUCCGUGACAAUCUAGAGAACAAUGAGAUAUCCUUUUUUUAUGGAUCACAAGGCAAAUCAAAAUAAAUACUCGUUCCAUUAUAAUGAUGGGAUAAUUACCAUAUAGCACAGGCUUACCCAAAUUCAGAUCGAAGAUGUGAUGCGCAAGCACCUAAAAAACUGGCGCAACGUUUGAGGUAACAGCCUCAUGAGCGACAUAAUUCCAAUCCUCGCCAUAAUUCAGAUUGUUUC
rnacentral:lncRNA from 1 species